rnacentral:rRNA from 1 species
GACGAACGCUGGCGGCGUGCUUAACACAUGCAAGUCGAACGGAAAGGCCCUGCUUUUGUGGGGUGCUCGAGUGGCGAACGGGUGAGUAACACGUGAGUAACCUGCCCUUGACUUGGGGAUAACUUCAGGAAACUGGGGCUAAUACCGUAUAGGAGCUCCUGCUGCAGGGUGGGGGUUGGAAAGUUUCGGCGGUUGGGGAUGGACUCGCGGCUUAUCAGCUUGUUGGUGGGGUAGUGGCUUACCAAGGCUUUGACGGGUAGCCGGCCUGAGAGGGUGACCGGCCACAUUGGGACUGAGAUACGGCCCAGACUCCUACGGGAGGCAGCAGUGGGGAAUAUUGCACAAUGGGCGGAAGCCUGAUGCAGCAACGCCGCGUGCGGGAUGACGGCCUUCGGGUUGUAAACCGCUUUCGCCUGUGACGAAGCGUGAGUGACGGUAAUGGGUAAAGAAGCACCGGCUAACUACGUG